CGGGCGGGCGGCGCAGGCCGGGGAACGCCGUCGGGGGUCCCACUUGCUCCGAGUACUCAUCCGCGAGGGACCCUCACCCGAGCUCGGCCCACCGGGAACGCCUGGAACCCGCGCCCGCAGGCCUGGAGCCUGCACUAACGGUAAAGCGCGCCACCUCGGCGCCCCGACCAAUAAGACGGUGAGCGCGGUGGCCAAUGGGAAAGUCCGCCUGGAGCUGGGGCCAAUCACGGCGCACCGGAAGUGGGGGUCCCGCCCGCCUCCCCGCCUCCCUCACCGCGCGGGCUCUGGACCUCACGGCGUGGGGGGGCCCGGGGUCGCCGGUGCUCUCUUAGACGCGAUUCCUGGGUCGGCUGCGCUGCGUAGAGGUCCUCGCAGGCUUCCAGGUGAAGAAUCAUAUCUGGACAGAAUGAGUCUGGCACAAUGGACACAACUGUACUUAUUCUCGGUCCUAGAAUGUCCUUUCUAUAAGGUAAAAACACAAAGCGUAUGACAUUAUUUCACUAAAGGUGAACAGUUUUCUUGUGCCCCUUCUGCAAACUAAGUUGCUUCUCUUUUGACUUGUCUCAUAACCUUCUUAAAAGGAAAACUUUCAUUUACUUGGGGCUACGUGCGACAGCUAGCUUUUUAGUUUGACAACUUGCCCCCA
rnacentral:lncRNA from 1 species